CCUACGGGUGGCAGCAGUGAGGAAUAUUGGUCAAUGGGCUUACGCCUGAACCAGCAAAGUCGCGUGAGGGAAGACUGCCCUAUGGGUUGUAAACCUCUUUUGUCAGGGAGCAAUUGGCGCUACGUGUAGCGUUAUCGAGAGUACCUGAAGAAAAAGCAUCGGCUAACUCCGUGCCUGCAGCCGCGGAAAUACGGAGGUUGCGAGCGUUAUCCGGAUUGUUUGGGUUUAAAGGGUGCGUAGGCGGAAUGCCAAGUCAGCGGGAAAAUCGCGGGGUGCAACCCCGCUCCGCCGUUGAAACUGGCGUUCUUGAGUGGGCGAGAAGUAUGCGGAAUGCGGGGUGUAGCGGUGAAAUGCAUAGAUAUCACGCAGAACUCCGAUUGCGAAGGCAGCAUACCGGCGCCCAACUGACGCUGAAGCACGAAAGCGUGGGUAUCGAACAGGAUUAGAUACCCGGGUAGUC
rnacentral:rRNA from 1 species